rnacentral:rRNA from 1 species
UACGGAGGGUGCUAACGUUAUCCGGAUUUACUGGGCGUAAAGCGCAUGUAGGUGGUUGGAAAAGUGGGCGAUUAAAGACCGAUGCUUAACAUCGGGACUGUUGCCUAUACUCUCCGACUUGAGAAUGACAGGGGUACGCGGAACUUUAGGUGUAGGGGUGAAAUCCGUAGAUAUCUAAAGGAACACCAAUGGCGAAGGCAGCGUACUGGGUUUUUUCUGACACUGAGAUGCGAAAGCGUGGGGAGCGAACGGG